CCUACGGGAGGCAGCAGUGAGGAAUAUUGGUCAAUGGGCGCGAGCCUGAACCAGCCAAGUCGCGUGAAGGAUGAAUGCUCUAUGGAUUGUAAACCUCUUUUAUAAGGGAAUAAAGUGUGGGACGUGUCCCUUUUUGUAUGUACCUUAUGAAUAAGGAUCGGCUAACUCCGUGCCAGCAGCCGCGGUAAUACGGAGGAUCCGAGCGUUAUCCGGAUUUAUUGGGUUUAAAGGGUGCGUAGGCGGGCUUUUAAGUCAGAUGUGAAAGUCUGUGGCUCAACCAUAGAAUUGCCGUUGAUACUGGUGGGCUUGAGUAUAUUUGAGGUAGGCGGAAUGCGUGGUGUAGCGGUGAAAUGCGUAGAUAUCACGAAGAACCCCGAUUGCGAAGGCAGCUUGCCAAGCCAUGACUGACGCUGAUGCACGAAAGCGUGGGGAUCAAACAGGAUUAGAUACCCCAGUAGUC
rnacentral:rRNA from 1 species